GAUCCUGGCUCAGGACGAACGCUGGCGCGCGCCUAACACAUGCAAGUCGAACGAGCGAGAGAGAGCUUGCUUUCUUGAGCGAGUGGCGAACGGGUGAGUAACGCGUGAGGAACCUGCCUCAAAGAGGGGGACAACAGUUGGAAACGACUGCUAAUACCGCAUAAGCCCACGGCUCGGCAUCGAGCAGAGGGAAAAGGAGCAAUCCGCUUUGAGAUGGCCUCGCGUCCGAUUAG
rnacentral:rRNA from 1 species